AAGAGUUGCAAAACUCCUAAACCCUCUGUAGAUAUACCCAUCUCAGUUGCUUCGGCAGGCGGCCCCAGGGCGGGGCUCUUCGGCCUUUUUUACAAAGGUGCCUGCCGGAGGGAUUUUAAAAACUCGUUAUUUUUGUGUUAUCUGAGUUCAAAAGACAAAUGAAAAA
rnacentral:misc_RNA from 1 species